AGCGUGCGCAGGCGGUUUUGUAAGUCUGUUGUGAAAUCCCCCGGGCUCAACCUGGGAAUGGCAAUGGAGACUGCAAGGCUAGAGUUUGGCAGAGGGGGGGUAGAAUUCCACGUGUAGCAGUGAAAUGCGUAGAUAUGUGGAGGAACACCGAUGGCGAAGGCAGCCCCCUGGGUCAAAACUGACGCUCAUGCACGAAAGCGUGGGGAGCAAACAGGAUUAGAUACCCUGGU
rnacentral:rRNA from 1 species